CCUACGGGGGGCAGCAGUGGGGAAUAUUGGACAAUGGGCGAAAGCCUGAUCCAGCCAUGCCGCGUGUGUGAAGAAGGCCUUCGGGUUGUAACGCACUUUCAGUGGGGAAGAAAGCCUUGGGGCUAAUACCCUCGAGGAAGGACAUCACCCACAGAAGAAGCACCGGCUAACUCCGUGCCAGCAGCCGCGGUAAUACGGAGGGUGCGAGCGUUAAUCGGAAUUACUGGGCGUAAAGCGCGCGUAGGCGGUCUGAUAAGCCGGUUGUGAAAGCCCCGGGCUCAACCUGGGAACGGCAUCCGGAACUGUCAGGCUAGAGUGCAGGAGAGGAAGGUAGAAUUCACGGUGUAGCGGUGAAAUGCGUAGAGAUCGGGAGGAAUACCAGUGGCGAAGGCGGCCUUCUGGACUGACACUGACGCUGAGGUGCGAAAGCGUGGGUAGCAAACAGGAUUAGAUACCCUAGUAGUC
rnacentral:rRNA from 1 species